rnacentral:rRNA from 1 species
UUUUUGGGGGAUUUCCGCAAUGGGGGCAACCCUGACGGAGCAACGCCGCGUGGGGGAGGAAGGUCUGUGGAUUGUAAACCCCUUUUCUCAGGGAAGAAGUUCUGACGGUACCUGAGGAAUCAGCAUCGGCUAACUCCGUGCCAGCAGCCGCGGUAAGACGGAGGAGGCAAGCGUUAUCCGGAAUUAUUGGGCGUAAAGCGUCCCGCAGGCGGUUCAUCAAGUCUGCCGUCAAAGCCUGCAGCUCAACUNNGGUUAAGCGGUGGAAACUGAGGAACUAGAGUACGGUAGGGGUAGAGGGAAUUCCCCAGUGUAGCGGUGAAAUGCGUAGAUAUNGGGAAGAACACCAGUGGCGAAGGCGCUCUACUGGGCCGCAACUGACGUGAGGG